rnacentral:rRNA from 1 species
UACAGAGGGGGCAAGCGUUGUUCGGAAUUACUGGGCGUAAAGGGCGCGUAGGCGGCCUUCUAAGUCGAACGUGAAAUCCCUGGGCUCAACCCAGGAACUGCGUCCGAUACUGGAAGGCUUGAAUCCGGGAGAGGGAUGCGGAAUUCCAGGUGUAGCGGUGAAAUGCGUAGAUAUCUGGAGGAGCACCGGUGGCGAAGGCGGCAUCCUGGACCGGUAUUGACGCUGAGGAGCGAAAGCGUGGGGAGCGAACAGG